UACGAAGGCAGCAGUGGGGAAUAUUGGACAAUGGGCGAAAGCCUGAUCCAGCCAUGCCGCAUGAGUGAAGAAGGCCUUCGGGUUGUAAAGCUCUUUUAGUGAGAAAGAUAAUGACGUUACCCGAAAAGAAGCACCGGCUAACUCCGUGCCAGCAGCCGCGGUAAUACGGAGGGUGCUAGCGUUAAUCAGAAUUACUGGGCGUAAAGAGCACGUAGGUGGUUUUUUUAAGUCAGAUGUGAAAUCCCUGGGCUUAACCUAGGAACUGCAUUUUGAAAACUGAAAUACUAGAGUAUCGUAGAGGGAGGUAGAAUUCUAGGUGUAGCGGUGAAAUGCGUAGAUAUCUGGAGGAAUACCUGUGGCGAAAGCGGCCUCCUAAACGAAUACUGACACUGAGGUGCGAAAGCGUGGGGAGCAAACAGGGAUUAGAUA
rnacentral:rRNA from 1 species